ACAAAAGCCUUGCCGUACUUUUCAGAAGCUCAAAACCUUAAUAAUUUUUUCCAAAACCUUAAUCAUCUGCCUCUCCACCCUUUCUCGCCUGCCUUUCUAUCUUUUGUCGAUUUCAAUCUUUCACUUACUCUUUUGAAUUGUACCUUUAUCAUAUUUGCUUAAUUAAUUACCUAAUCUAUGAUCGACAGAAUCAUAUGUGUACUUUUUAAUGUUGUAUCUUAUUGGUUGCAGAUCCACUGAUAAUCAAGGAAUGCGUCAAUAAGUUGACGCAGGUGAAUCAUGUUUGUUUCCAGUUACAAUCCUAAUAAAUGUAAUGGAUGUGAAGUGGUCACAGAGAGGGGGAGCUGGUGUUCGGAAUGACGUUGGUAAGGAAAUCAACUUUCAAGAUAACAUUAAUGAGAUUAAAGCCAAUCCUGUACGGUUGAAAAGGGAUUUAGGACUCUAGAAGAAGUGUCAAUGCCGAAAUGGCAUCAAGAAGCAUAACACGCAGAAACUCCCUCCACUUCAGAGCUUGCAUCAGACUAACACUGAAUCAUAGAUAGCUUAGUACAAGUUCCAAGACUGGUGAGGAUAUCUGGUUAAAUUUAUACUACCUUCAAAGAGAAUUACCCAUCAUAAUUUAUAGUACCUUUCAAAAUAAGGUAUUUCUGUAUCCAAUGUAUUAAAAGUGUCGCUGAUGAAAGCAGAAAGGACAUGGUGUUGGUUGUUGUAGGCUUCAACCAACACCAUCUCCCAAUCAGUGAAUGGUCCAACGCCGUUGGUUGUGGUGGACUUGAGACCUCUCAUCGGAGUUCCUUCCAUCUUCAGUAUUGAUGGAAGAGAAAAAAAAAUCAAAGGUGUCAUUGUCUUGUAUGGGACACCCCUCCACUUUCAACUUGCAAGACGGCCUUCCUAAAGUCGUUGUGAGAGCUUGCGUCAAGGAUCUGAUGUGACGAGCAUGGAUUUUUAUCCAGAGGAAAGGCUCAUGUAUCUCCCAAUCUAGGUAGGACCUGCUCCUCUUGUGAAAGCUGAGGUGCCAUGGUCGGUUCGAAGGGAAAAUCUCUCCGAGAAAGAACGUGUACUGAAGACGCUGAAAGGUAUAUUCAACAAGCUGACACCGGAGAAGUUUGACCUCCUUAAAGGCCAACUGAUUGAUUCUGGGAUCACAACCCAGGACAUUUUACAGAUUACUAAGUUCUGCUGCUAGAUAAUUUUCACACUCUCUUCAACCUGUUCAGGAAAACAAAGGAGUAGAAAUUCUUUGUUAUGACAAUGAUCAUUAGUACUGGGCUGAAGGCGUGGAAUGUAAUGAACUAUUAGUAGUUGUCAGAGAUUUGUUUACCAAUUAAAUCUUCAUGACCUCGUAUUUGUUGAGCAUAAACUCAGUAGUUUUAGGAGAUUUACUUUCAUUGUUUUCUCUUUUUCUAAAAUUUAAAAUCGGUGAGUGAAAAUGUGACAGCAUCAAAAAUUCAGCAACUGAAAUUCGAAACUAUUAUGAACUUGUUUUGUUUGU